CUGCCUCCACCUCCCGAGUGCUGAGAUUAUAGGCAUGUGCCAUUACACCCAGCUUGGAGGAAACUGAUGGAAGUCAACAGAGAGACAGAUUUACGGAGGACCCACAGAACAAUGACAAUAAUCUGAAUGAAUAGCAAGUGUGCACGGUCUGCAUCCUAUGGGCCCAGCACCACGCUAAGUGCUUUGCCAGUGGCUUGUGAGGUUUGUCUUUCCUCUUGCAUGGAUGAGGAAACUGAGACUCAAGAGGCGAACCCAGGGUGGCGCAGCUUGUGGAUGACACCAUGAGGACUCCGACCCUGCCCAAAGCCGUGCUUGUAACCCCAGGGACACAGGUGGGUGCUCCACAGAGCAAACGGAGACACAACCGAGCACCCACAUUCACAAGGACGGUGUUGCAUACAUCUGAAGCUUUUAUUCCAUAUCCAAGUUACACGUUAUUUUUUCCCUCUGGGAAAUCCGGAGGGCCCAGGUCACCUUCGGUUCCUUCUCCAGCCUUUUGCCGCUCAUCCUGAAAGCACUGUGCCAGGAACUGUGGGAACUGUAGAGAACAGUCAGCCGUAGAUCCUGCCUUCAAAGCGUUUUAAUCUAGGUGAUAAAUGAGAGUGAAAUGUAAGUGCUGAAUGAAGUGCUAAGCAAGUUUCCUUUUGGCUGCAUAAAUGUGAGUUGACUCAUUAUUCUGCCAAACAGCUCAGGUCUGAGCAGCCCUUGAGUUCAACACCUAACCCUUAAGACGAGGAACUUUGUUUUCUUCAUUUUAAAGGGCAAGAUAAGGCUUGAAGGCUGGGUGAGGCUGUCACUGUCAACCGCCAUGUUCUUUUAUGGUCACAGUAAUCUACGCCUGCCCAGAGAUUCGGAGAGGAGGGUAAAUUUAGGUUUGGUCACUGUGGGAGCCAUUCCAUGGCCUAGUCCUUCUGGCCUGCUGUGGAAUGACUGGUUCAGUUUAGGAAACUUUGAUUGAUGGUCUACAAGGAACUACACAGGAUGCGAGGUACUGAGGACCCGCGGCUCUACCACUAUCUAUACCUCCAAUCCUUAUCCAAACCAUGAAAGGACAUUCUGUGUGAAGAAAAGGGCCUGGACAAGUUCACUAAGAUGAUAAAUGAUGCCAAAGACCCAACCUGGGAGAUGUCGGGAGAUGAGGUGGAGGGCAGGUAGGACUUAGGGCUGGGAGUCCAUGGAGGCUGACGGAAGACCUCAAGUUUAUCCUGCUGUAGGUGGGACCCCUGGAAGCAGGGAACCACGUGACCGGCCAUCACUCUGACUACAGCCUGGAGGCCACAUGAUGGGGCCAGGGUGGUGCUGGGAACAGUAAUUGGUCACCAGGGGCCCAACCCAGAGAAAAGCCACCAGUGCCCGAAUUCUAGCAGGAGAGAAAAUGAUGAAGGAAGACAGUUCGACACCGUCCUCCAUUCCUGCACCUACUUGGGACCUGGCCAUCUCCAACUCACGCUGCCUUCCCCUUGCUUGCCUUUCUGCUUCCAGCUCCUCAGCCUUCCAGACACAUCAGCCUCCUGAAAGCCUCUCCUCAGACACUGAGGUGAAUAAAUUCAGGGAGGCAGAAGGCCACAUGGACAGUGGAGCAGAGGCAGAGCCUGCCAAGCGCCUUCCCUUCCAAGGUCCUUAUCCGAUCACCCUGGAGCUCCUGUCACUCUUCACAGUUUAUUAUGUCCAGCUCCUCCUCAGCUAGCCUAACUGAAUUGCAGACUGAGACACUGAGGAGGGAGUUCAGUCAUCCAGCUGCAGAUGGGUUCUGUUCUAACUCCGGUGAAAUUUAAGAUCAGUGGGCAUUGCAGUGAGCCUGCUCUGUCAGCGCAGCCCACUGCAGACACUGGGAUGAGUAGGAUAAUCGCUCCAUCCUGUCCUGUUAAAUCCACAGGCCAGUAGGAGCACAGAGGGACUGGCUCUGCUCCCAGGGGACAGGGAUCUCUUACCUGUGUCAGCAGUUAGCAUGCAUUCUGGGCUGUUCCUUGAACCUGUUGAUGGUUAUUACCACUCUCUGCCUUUUUCUUUAGGGCCCUCUGAAAGUGAGGGUCCCUAUAAAGCUUCUAAGAUAUUACAGUCUGCUGAGGGUUCUUGCUGAAUUCAUGUAGAAAUCAUAAAUUGGCCAUGUGCAGCUCCUUCAGUGUUAGCAACUCAGAACUUCGAGUGCUAGUGGCUAACAACUCUUUUGUUAUUAGCGGCCCUCCCAGUACUCAGAAGAGCCAGUGGCUACCAGCAGGCCUUGCGAACUCUUCCUGCCACCAAAGAUGGCAGCUCCCAGCUUCUCCGUCCCUCUCCAUCAUCUUUUCUCUACUGCUAGUCACCCUCAGUGUUACCAGCCUCUGCUGCUGGACACAGUUGACACCAGGGGCGUCUGGUGUUACCAGUUUUUAGCGCACAGCUCAGCAUCCUCUACUCAAGAAAGAGAUCGUGAAUAGGAAGAACAUCCAGAAAGAGGCUUUAUUAGGACUCACUCUGCACGAAGGGGUACAGUGGGUGGACUCACUUGCUGAGGAGAAUGGGAAGAUGACUUACAUAGGAAAAAUAAAAGGGUGAACUUGCUCAUGCAAUAUCAAAGUUUUAAUUUGGUCAUGGGUAGAAGAGGGGCCCUUUGGGAACCUAACUGAGGAAGGCUGCAGGGGGUGGAAUUAUCCCAAGAUCUACAGGAUACAGUCACCUGAGGUAGGUCCAUGUUGAAGCCUGCUGCAGCCAAAGCAAUACAGUAUCUCUUGGAGCAGCUUAAGGUUGCCCAGUGUAGCUGGGGCACCUGGCUGCAAGGCACCUGGGGCGGCUGGCAAAGAAAAAUAAAAAUUAUUUCUUAGUUUUGGGCCCUUCUCUCCUGACUCAUCUGCACU